rnacentral:lncRNA from 10 species
AUACAAUAAUUUUUAGAAAAUAAAGGAUAAACUGUCCACUUAUUAAUAUAUAAAAACAUUUAUAGACCAUUGUCUUAAGAAAUGCAGUGUGAUGAUAUUUCAAUUUGAGUAAAAAAUGAGGCUCUCAAUUACAGCAUUUCUUUCACUGCUAAUGAGAGAGAAUCUAAUCUUUCUAUGAAGAGAGAGAAAGUCUCACAUUUCCUAGUGUGUUCCAGGAUCUCCUGUAUUCUUUACAUUUGGAGGAAUCAACCAUGAAGGAGUUGGCCACGGUGUCAGCAUGUGAAGGCAGAGGAACUCCAGCUCAGAGAGAGGCUUCCCUGGAUCCACUUGCCUCAACGACCCUCUGAUGGAAUCCAGGGGAGAUCAAACAAUGGAUGUGAUCAAGAAACAAACAAAUGGAGAAUGAAGAAAGAGCAAAGAGACAAGAAUAACAAAGAUACAGCAUAAGAAUAUGAAUUGAGCUGUUUUUUCUAAUGUACUUUGGACAUAUAAGAGGCAUCUUCAUCUCAGAAAUUGACCUUGGACUUAUCUAGCAUAUUAUUCUUUUGUUGAACAACGUUAAACAUCUGCUUACCAAAUAUUUGCUGCCAUUCUAAAAACUUCUAAGCACUGUGCUCAAUAGAAAACUGAAGUAUUUCACAAAAUCUAUUCUCAUAGUAGCUUUUUAAAAAAGAUAUUUCUGAUUACAUGUUCCACUUGUGCACCUGAGCACCUAGAGAAAGGAGACCUUGGGAGGACUAUUUCUAACCAGCAACUGAAAACAUCAACAUUCUUAUUCCCAUAACCACACUUACUUCAGUAUAAUAGGUGAUUUCACCUUUCUUAGAAGAUUGAGUUUAUUGACUUGCCCAAAUAAUGUAAUAAUGGGGUAAGUGUGUGUAUUAGUCCAUUUUCAUGCUGCUAUGAAGACAUACCUGAGACUGGGUAAUUUAUAAAGAAAAGAGGUUUAAUUGGUUCACAGUUCUGCAUGGCUAGGAAUCCUCAGGAAACUUAUAAUCAUGGUGGAAGAUGAAACAGGCACAUCUUACAUGGUGACAGGCCUUACUCAGAAAGCACCCUGCGCUGGCAUUUCAUAAGUAAACAGAAGAAAUGUCCUACUUGCAAAACUCUGAAUAUAGCUGAAUCCCUCAAGGGCAUAGAGGUUUAAGCAUACAGAAGUCAAAGGCAACCUUUUUGUUCUGUGAAGGUGCUGCCAUUAGGCAGCUGAGGACCAGCUGUGGGACCAACAGUCUUGGGUUGGAGCCUUUUUGAGAUAAAGGAAAGACAAUACCUUGGACUUAAAUAAGCAAUUCUGCUUUCCAAGUGUUGGUAGGCAGAACAAUGAUCCCCCCAGAAUAUUCACAUUUUGACUCCUGGACUUGUGAAAAUGUUAUGUUAAAUGGCCAAUGGAAGAAAAGUUACAUAUGAAAUUAAGGUUCCUAAUUAACUGACUUUAAGGUAAGAAUAUUAUGCCUGAUUUACCUGUGGGCCCAAUGUAACUGCAAGGGCCCUUAAACAAGGAAGAGGGAAGCAGAAGUGCCAGAACCAGAGGGAUAGCAUCAUGAGAAGGAUUUAACUGGCCAUUGCUGGCUUUGAAGAUGUAAGAGGGUCAAGAGACAAGAAAUGUGAGUGACCUCUAGAAGCUGGAAAAGGCAAGUAAAUGGAUUCUCUCCGAGUGUCUGCAGAAAGAAAAGCAGCCUUUUCAUCAACUUGAUUGUCACUCUGUGAGACUGAUUUUGGACUUCUGACUUCCAGGACCCUAAGAUAACAAAUUUGUGUUGUUUUUAGAACAAAGUUCCUGGUAAUUUGUUACAUCAAUAAUAAGAAAUGGACACAUCAAGAAAAUUUAAAAAGGAGAAAAGAACAAAUAAAAAGAGUAACAUAAAGACUAGAUGAGCACAGGGAACUCGCAUGUGUGCACAUUCCACAAAAGAAGCUAUAACGUGAUUACAGAAAGGAAGUCAUAAUAAACAAAUAAAUGUAUAUUGGAAAUAUGGAAAGGAAUACAGAGAACAAUGCAAUAUAAGGACAGACAAAGGCAUCCAGCUAUGAUUUUUCUCUCUUUAGCAGUUUGAAAGACAGAAAAUAUUCUUUUCUUUUUUUCGGUUCUGCAGUUCUGAAUUUUGAAAACUUUGCAAAAAAUUAAGCAUUCAAUUCAAAUGCCAAAUAAGAAAACUUUUAGUGCAAAUUCAAAGAAAAAUAAAAAUAGGUAUCUCAUAGUUUCAACAUAUGUUCAAAUCUUUCAAAUUUGAGCGAGAUAGGCAAGGUGCUUUAGGUUCCUUCGCUUCUCUCACUUCAAGCUAUUUGUUAGUUAGAAUGUUUGAUUUUCUGAUCCUCUGCCCAGAAAAAUGUAUUGCCAGUGGAAAGUAUUGUCAAUAAACAACCAUAGAAUUCUGCUUUAAAUCGUUCUGAUGCUUAUAAGAAAAGACACGAAUUCAUUUUGCAGACAUGCUUUUUCUGUUCACAAUUGCAAUUGAAAAUUGCAGUGAGCUACUUAAAAGCAGAACCGUUGAAUGGAACUUGUCUUAUAACAGAACCAGUUUUAAAUGGACAAUUGUAUACCUUAGAGCUGUCACCAGCCUUUAGCCUUGUACACAGCAUACAUGUAAUCAGUUGCCAUCAUACAUUGAAGAUAGUUAAGAAUAGAGUUACUGAGCAUCUAUUGUCAUCACAAAAAUGUGAAAGCUACUAAGGCAAAUAUGUGAAUAUAAACACAAUCCCUGGCCUCAAGGUAUUUAAAGUAAAAUUGUUCUAACUACAAUAAAAUUCAG